rnacentral:rRNA from 1 species
AUUGAACGCUGGCGGCAGGCCUAACACAUGCAAGUCGAGCGGAGCAGCGGACGGGGGCGUAAUGCCUAGGAAUCUGCCUGGUAGUGGGGGAUAACGUUCGGAAACGGGCGCUAAUACCGCAUACUAUCAGCAGAGCAUAGGUCGGAUUAGCUAGCUGGGGGGGUAAAGGCCUACCAAGGCGACGAUCCGUAACUGGUAUGAGAGGAUGAUCAGUCACACUGGAACUGAGACACGGUCCAGACUCCUACGGGAGGCAGCAGUGGGGAAGAUUGGACAAUGGGCGAAAGCCUGAUCCAGCCAUGCCGCGUGUGUGAAGAAGGUCUUCGGAUUGUAAAGCACUUUAAGUUGGGAGGCGUUACUAACAGAAUAAGCACCGGCUAACUUCGUGCCAGCAGCCGCGGUAAUUC